GUCGAACUCGUUCUCCGGCGUUAAAAUUCAACUUUUUUUCUCUCCGGCGAACUCUUUGACCAUCACUUUCCGGUUUAAUUGGCUGACUGGAAGGACUGCUGGAAAUGGAUCUUCCAUGCAAAGAAAGUGACACGGAGGAGUUUUUAACACCUGGAGUAUUUGAAAUACCUGGAGAGCCAGCUGUUGUUAUUAAUGGGUUGCCUCCUGUUUCUUCAAAUGCUGACAUCAAUUU
rnacentral:misc_RNA from 1 species